rnacentral:rRNA from 1 species
GAGUUUUGAUCAUGGCUCAGGAUGAACGCUAGCUACAGGCUUAACACAUGCAAGUCGGAGGGGAAACGACAUACGAAAGCUUGUCUUUUGAUGGGCGGUCGACCGGCGCGACGGGUGAGUACGCGUACUACCCAACCUCGCCCACCACGUUGGGGAUUAACCGUUGACGAAAGUAAGAACUAACUACCCAAUGACGUCUCUAAGGAACGAACAUUACUAGGAAAGAGUAAUUAAAGUAAUUUAGUCGGUGUAGUGGGUAGGUAGGGGAU